GCUGGUGUGGCUCAAUGGUAGAGCAACGGUAUCGUAAACCGUAGGUUGGGGGUUCGAUUCCCUUCACCAGCUCCA
rnacentral:tRNA from 1 species